UUAAGCGACUAAGCGUACACGGUGGAUGCCCUGGCAGUCAGAGGCGAUGAAGGACGUGCUAAUCUGCGAAAAGCGUCGGUAAGGUGAUAUGAACCGUUAUAACCGGCGAUGUCCGAAUGGGGAAACCCAGUGCAAUUCGUUGCACUAUCGUUAACUGAAUACAUAGGUUAACGAGGCGAACCGGGGGAACUGAAACAUCUAAGUACCCCGAGGAAAAGAAAUCAACCGAGAUUCCCCCAGUAGCGGUGAGCGAACGGGGAGCAGCCCAGAGUCUGAAUCAGCUUGUGUGUUAGUGGAACGGUCUGGAAAGUCCGACGGUACAGGGUGAUAGUCCCGUACACCAAAAUGCACAGGUUGUGAACUCGAAGAGUAGGGCGGGACACGUGGUAUCCUGUCUGAAUAUGGGGGACCAUCCUCCAAGGCUAAAUACUCCUGACUGACCGAUAGUGAACCAGUACCGUGAGGGAAAGGCGAAAAGAACCCCGGCGAGGGGAGUGAAAAAGAACCUGAAACCGUGUACGUACAAGCAGUGGGAGCACCUUCGGGUGUGACUGCGUACCUUUUGUAUAAUGGGUCAGCGACUUAUAUUCUGUAGCAAGGUUAACCGUAUAGGGGAGCCGCAGGGAAACCGAGUCUUAACUGGGCGUUAAGUUGCAGGGUAUAGACCCGAAACCCGGUGAUCUAGCCAUGGGCAGGUUGAAGGUUGGGUAACACUAACUGGAGGACCGAACCGACUAAUGUUGAAAAAUUAGCGGAUGACUUGUGGCUGGGGGUGAAAGGCCAAUCAAACCGGGAGAUAGCUGGUUCUCCCCGAAAGCUAUUUAGGUAGCGCCUCGUGAACUCAUCUUCGGGGGUAGAGCACUGUUUCGGCUAGGGGGUCAUCCCGACUUACCAACCCGAUGCAAACUACGAAUACCGAAGAAUGUUAUCACGGGAGACACACGGCGGGUGCUAACGUCCGUCGUGAAGAGGGAAACAACCCAGACCGCCAGCUAAGGUCCCAAAGUCAUGGUUAAGUGGGAAACGAUGUGGGAAGGCACAGACAGCCAGGAUGUUGGCUUAGAAGCAGCCAUCAUUUAAAGAAAGCGUAAUAGCUCACUGGUCGAGUCGGCCUGCGCGGAAGAUGUAACGGGGCUAAACCAUGCACCGAAGCUGCGGCAGCGACACUAUGUGUUGUUGGGUAGGGGAGCGUUCUGUAAGCCUGCGAAGGUGACCUGUGAGGGUUGCUGGAGGUAUCAGAAGUGCGAAUGCUGACAUAAGUAACGAUAAAGCGGGUGAAAAGCCCGCUCGCCGGAAGACCAAGGGUUCCUGUCCAACGUUAAUCGGGGCAGGGUGAGUCGACCCCUAAGGCGAGGCCGAAAGGCGUAGUCGAUGGGAAACAGGUUAAUAUUCCUGUACUUGGUGUUACUGCGAAGGGGGGACGGAGAAGGCUAUGUUAGCCGGGCGACGGUUGUCCCGGUUUAAGCAUGUAGGCUGGUUGUCCAGGCAAAUCCGGAUAAUCAAGGCUGAGGUGUGAUGACGAGGCACUACGGUGCUGAAGUAACAAAUGCCCUGCUUCCAGGAAAAGCCUCUAAGCAUCAGGUAACAUUAAAUCGUACCCCAAACCGACACAGGUGGUCAGGUAGAGAAUACCAAGGCGCUUGAGAGAACUCGGGUGAAGGAACUAGGCAAAAUGGUGCCGUAACUUCGGGAGAAGGCACGCUGGUGUGUAGGUGAAGCCCCUGCGGGUGGAGCUGAGACCAGUCGAAGAUACCAGCUGGCUGCAACUGUUUAUUAAAAACACAGCACUGUGCAAACACGAAAGUGGACGUAUACGGUGUGACGCCUGCCCGGUGCCGGAAGGUUAAUUGAUGGGGUUAUCCGUAAGGAGAAGCUCUUGAUCGAAGCCCCGGUAAACGGCGGCCGUAACUAUAACGGUCCUAAGGUAGCGAAAUUCCUUGUCGGGUAAGUUCCGACCUGCACGAAUGGCGUAAUGAUGGCCAGGCUGUCUCCACCCGAGACUCAGUGAAAUUGAACUCGCUGUGAAGAUGCAGUGUACCCGCGGCAAGACGGAAAGACCCCGUGAACCUUUACUAUAGCUUGACACUGAACAUUGAGCCUUGAUGUGUAGGAUAGGUGGGAGGCUUUGAAGCGUGGACGCCAGUCUGCGUGGAGCCAACCUUGAAAUACCACCCUUUAAUGUUUGAUGUUCUAACGUUGGCCCCUUACCGGGGUUGCGGACAGUGUCUGGUGGGUAGUUUGACUGGGGCGGUCUCCUCCCAAAGCGUAACGGAGGAGCACGAAGGUUAGCUAAUCCUGGUCGGACAUCAGGAGGUUAGUGCAAUGGCAUAAGCUAGCUUGACUGCGAGCGUGACGGCGCGAGCAGGUGCGAAAGCAGGUCAUAGUGAUCCGGUGGUUCUGAAUGGAAGGGCCAUCGCUCAACGGAUAAAAGGUACUCCGGGGAUAACAGGCUGAUACCGCCCAAGAGUUCAUAUCGACGGCGGUGUUUGGCACCUCGAUGUCGGCUCAUCACAUCCUGGGGCUGAAGUAGGUCCCAAGGGUAUGGCUGUUCGCCAUUUAAAGUGGUACGCGAGCUGGGUUUAGAACGUCGUGAGACAGUUCGGUCCCUAUCUGCCGUGGGCGCUGGAGAAUUGAGGGGGGCUGCUCCUAGUACGAGAGGACCGGAGUGGACGCAUCACUGGUGUUCGGGUUGUCAUGCCAAUGGCACUGCCCGGUAGCUAAAUGCGGAAGAGAUAAGUGCUGAAAGCAUCUAAGCACGAAACUUGCCCCGAGAUGAGUUCUCCCUGAGACUUUAAGUCUCCUGAAGGAACGUUGAAGACGACGACGUUGAUAGGCCGGGUGUGUAAGCGCAGCGAUGCGUUGAGCUAACCGGUACUAAUGAACCGUGAGGCUUAACCUU
rnacentral:rRNA from 1 species